GGGGAUGGCUCCGCGGCCCAUCAGGUAGACGGCGGGGUGACGGCCCACCGUGCCGACAACGGGUAGCCGGGUUGAGAGACCGACCGGCCAGAUUGGGACUGAGACACGGCCCAGACUCCUACGGGUGGCAGCAGUCGAGAAUCAUUCACAAUGGGGGAAACCCUGAUGGUGUGACGCCGCGUGGGGGAAUGAAGGUCUUCGGAUUGUAAACCCCUGUCAUGUGGGAGCAAAUUAAAAAGAUAGUACCACAAGAGGAAGAGACGGCUAACUCUGUGCCAGCAGCCGCGGUAAUACAGAGGUCUCAAGCGUUGUUCGGAAUCACUGGGCGUAAAGCGUGCGUAGGCUGUUUCGUAAGUCGUGUGUGAAAGGCGCGGGCUCAACCCGCGGACGGCACAUGAUACUGCGAGACUAGAGUAAUGGAGGGGGAACCGGAAUUCUCGGUGUAGCAGUGAAAUGCGUAGAUAUCGAGAGGAACACUCGUGGCGAAGGCGGGUUCCUGGACAUUAACUGACGCUGAGGCACGAAGGCCAGGGGAGCGAAAGGGAUUAGAUACCCCUGUAGUCCUGGCAGUAAACGGUGCACGCUUGGUGUGCGGGGAAUCGACCCCCUGCGUGCCGGAGCUAACGCGUUAAGCGUGCCGCCUGGGGAGUACGGUCGCAAGAUUAAAACUCAAAGAAAUUGACGGGGACCCGCACAAGCGGUGGAGUAUGUGGCUUAAUUCGAUGCAACGCGAAGAACCUUACCUGGGCUUGACAUGUAAUGAACAACAUGUGAAAGCAUGCGACUCUUCGGAGGCGUUACACAGGUGCUGCAUGGCCGUCGUCAGCUCGUGUCGUGAGAUGUUUGGUUAAGUCCAGCAACGAGCGCAACCCCUGUUGCCAGUUACCAGCACGUGAAGGUGGGGACUCUGGCGAGACUGCCCAGAUCAACUGGGAGGAAGGUGGGGACGACGUCAGGUCAGUAUGGCCCUUAUGCCCAGGGCUGCACACGUACUACAAUGCCCAGUACAGAGGGGGCCGAAGCCGCGAGGCGGAGGAAAUCCUGAAAACUGGGCCCAGUUCGGACUGUAGGCUGCAACCCGCCUACACGAAGCCGGAAUCGCUAGUAAUGGCGCAUCAGCUACGGCGCCGUGAAUACGUUCCCGGGUCUUGCACUCACGCCCGUCA
rnacentral:rRNA from 1 species